rnacentral:rRNA from 1 species
GACGAACGCUGGCGGCGUGCCUAAUACAUGCAAGUCGAACGGUAACAGGUCUUUCGGGAUGCUGACGAGUGGCGAACGGGUGAGUAAUACAUCGGAACGUGCCUAGUAGUGGGGGAUAACUACUCGAAAGAGUGGCUAAUACCGCAUGACAUCUAAGGAUAAAAGCAGGGGACCUUCGGGCCUUGUGCUACUAGAGCGGCCGAUGGCAGAUUAGGUAGUUGGUGGGAUAAAAGCUUACCAAGCCAACGAUCUGUAGCUGGUCUGAGAGGACGAUCAGCCACAAUGGGACUGAGACACGGCCCAGACUCCUACGGGAGGCAGCAGUGGGGAAUUUUGGACAAUGGGCGCAAGCCUGAUCCAGCAAUGCCGCGUGCAGGAUGAAGGCCUUCGGGUUGUAAACUGCUUUUGUACGGGACGAAAAGCUCUGGGCUAAUAUCUCGGAGUCAUGACGGUACCGUAAGAAUAAGCACCGGCUAACUACGUGCCAGCCGCCGCAGUAAAAC